rnacentral:rRNA from 1 species
GACGAACGCUGGCGGCGUGCCUAAUACAUGCAAGUAGAACGCUGAAGGAGGAGCUUGCUUCUCUGGAUGAGUUGCGAACGGGUGAGUAACGCGUAGGUAACCUGCCUGGUAGCGGGGGAUAACUAUUGGAAACGAUAGCUAAUACCGCAUAAUAGUAGAUGUUGCAUGACAUUUGCUUAAAAGGUGCAAUUGCAUCACUACCAGAUGGACCUGCGUUGUAUUAGCUAGUUGGUGAGGUAACGGCUCACCAAGGCAACGAUACAUAGCCGACCUGAGAGGGUGAUCGGCCACACUGGGACUGAGACACGGCCCAGACUCCUACGGGAGGCAGCAGUAGGGAAUCUUCGGCAAUGGACGGAAGUCUGACCGAGCAACGCCGCGUGAGUGAAGAAGGUUUUCGGAUCGUAAAGCUCGGUUGUAAGAGAAGAACGAGUGUGAGAGUGGAAAGUUCACACUGUGACGGUAUCUUACCAGAAAGGGACGGCUAACUACGUG